rnacentral:rRNA from 1 species
UACGUAGGGUGCGAGCGUUGUCCGGAAUUAUUGGGCGUAAAGAGCUUGUAGGCGGUUUGUCGCGUCUGCUGUGAAAUCCGGGGCUCAACCCCGGACUUGCAGUGGGUACGGGCAGACUAGAGUGUGGUAGGGGAGACUGGAAUUCCUGGUGUAGCGGUGGAAUGCGCAGAUAUCAGGAGGAACACCGAUGGCGAAGGCAGGUCUCUGGGCCACUACUGACGCUGAGAAGCGAAAGCAUGGGGAGCGAACAGG